AUUGAACGCUAGCGGGAUGCCUUACACAUGCAAGUCGACCGUAGUGGCGAACGGGUGAGUAAUGUAUCGGAACGUGCCCAGUAGCGGGGGAUAACUACGCGAAAGCGUAGCUAAUACCGCAUACUAUUGGAGCGGCCGAUAGCGGAUUAGCUAGUUGGUGGGGUAACGGCUAAACCAGGCGACGAUCCGUAGCUGGUUUGAGAGGACGAACAGCCACAAUGGGACUGAGACACGGCCCAGACUCCUACGGGAGGCAGCAGUGGGGAAUUUUGGAAAAUGGGGGAAACCCUGAUCCAGCCAUCCCGCGUGGGCGAUGAAGGCCUUCGGGUUGUAAAGCACUUUUGGCAGGAAAGCGGUACAUGCAGAAUAAGCACCGGCUAACUACGUGCCAGCAGCCGCGGUAAUUC
rnacentral:rRNA from 1 species